rnacentral:rRNA from 1 species
GACGAACGCUGGCGGCGUGCUUAACACAUGCAAGUCGAACGGAAAGGCCCUGCUUUUGUGGGGUGCUCGCGUGGCGAACGGGUGAGUAACACGUGAGUAACCUGCCCUUUACUUUGGGAUAACUUCAGGAAACUGGUGCUACUACCUGCUAGGAGCUCCUGCUGCAUGGUGGGGGUUGGAAAGUUUCGGCGGUUGGGGAUGGACUCGCGGCUUAUGAGCUUGUUGGUGGGGUAGUGGCUUACCAAGGCUUUGACGGGUAGCCGGCCUGAGAGGGUGACCGGCCACAUUGGGACUGAGAUACGGCCCAGACUCCUACGGGAGGCAGCAGGGGGGAAUAUUGCACAAUGGGCGGAAGCGUGAUGCAGAAACGUCGCGAGCGGGAUGAAGGUCUUCGGGGGGUAAACCGCUUUCGCCUGUGACGAAGCGCGAGUGACGGUAAUGGGUAAAGAAGCACCGGCUAACUACGUG